rnacentral:rRNA from 1 species
UACGUAGGCAGCAAGCGUUUGUUCGGAGUUACUGGGCGUAAAGGGUGUGUAGGCGGUUAUUUAAGUUUGGUGUGAAAUCUCCCGGCUCAACCGGGAGGGUGCGCCGAAUACUGAAUGACUUGGAGUGCGGGAGAGGAAAGUGGAAUUCCUGGUGUAGCGGUGAAAUGCGUAGAUAUCAGGAGGAACACCGGUGGUGUAGACGGCUUUCUGGACCGUAACUGACGCUGAGACACGAAAGCGUGGGUAGCAACAGG